AGCGAACGCUGGCGGCAGGCCUAACACAUGCAAGUCGAACGAACCUUUCGGGGUUAGUGGCGGACGGGUGAGUAACACGUGGGAACGUGCCUUUAGGUUCGGAAUAACUCAGGGAAACUUGUGCUAAUACCGAAUGUGCCCUUCGGGGGAAAGAUUUAUCGCCUUUAGAGCGGCCCGCGUCUGAUUAGCUAGUUGGUUGAGGUAAUGGCUCACCAAGGCGACGAUCAGUAGCUGGUCUGAGAGGAUGAUCAGCCACAUGGGGACUGAGACACGGCCCAAACUCCUACGGGAGGCAGCAGUGGGGAAUCUUGCGCAAUGGGCGAAAGCCUGACGCAGCCAUGCCGCGUGAAUGAUGAAGGUCUUAGGAUUGUAAAAUUCUUUCACCGGGGACGAUAAUGACGGUACCCGGAGAAGAAGCCCCGGCUAACUUCGUG
rnacentral:rRNA from 1 species